rnacentral:rRNA from 1 species
UACGUAGGGUGCAAGCGUUGUCCGGAAUUAUUGGGCGUAAAGAGCUCGUAGGCGGUUUGUCGCGUCUGCUGUGAAAACUCGGGGCUUAACUCCGGGCCUGCAGUGGGUACGGGCAGACUAGAGUGCGGUAGGGGAGACUGGAAUUCCUGGUGUAGCGGUGAAAUGCGCAGAUAUCAGGAGGAACACCGGUGGCGAAGGCGGGUCUCUGGGCCGUAACUGACGCUGAGGAGCGAAAGAGUGGGGAGCGAACAGG